UCAUCCACAGCACUCAUGCUAUUUAUAUUCAUUAUCUGAUUUGCAUGAACCUAUCAGAGGGCUGGGGAGGCGGAGUCAGCAGCUACCCGAGGCUUGUCAGGAGGAGGAGGGAGGAGUCAGAUGGGAAGCAGAGAGAGUGAGCCUGAAGGGGAGGUCAGUCUGUGGUCCUUAGAGAGGGUGGCAGAGUUAGGGGUUAAGAGUGUGGAACUUACGGAGAGCGAAAAGAGUUAAGAGUGAAACAAGUUAUUAAUAAUCUAAUGAAUGCAUUAAAGUCUGUGAAGAACCCGUUUAAGCCAACUGUAAUCCAUAAACCUCUGUUGUUCAACUUUAUCCUCAGCUUGGACCUCAAUCUUUCUAAUUAAAGGGUGUCGACAGAGGUCAGCGGGUGGCAGCGAGAUAAAGGACGUGUGAGCUCUGUGUUGGGUGAAACAAGCAGGGGCCAUCCCAAUCCAGGGACGUGGUGGCGCUGCGGGCUAAACUGCAGAAGCCUGUGCUGCAGGGUCAGAAGACCAAGCAGUCGUAAGAUCGAAUCCAUGCAACGGAGUGAGUUCCCGUCGCUUGUCCCAGCUCCCGCCAACCUAGCGGUUCGAAAGCAUGCAAAUGCAAGUAGAUAAAUAGGGA
rnacentral:lncRNA from 1 species